rnacentral:rRNA from 1 species
UACGAAGGGGGCUAGCGUUGCUCGGAAUGACUGGGCGUAAAGGGCGCGUAGGCGGUUUGUACAGUCAGAUGUGAAAUUCCUGGGCUCAACCUGGGGGGCUGCAUUUGAUACGUAUGGACUGGAGUGAGGAAGAGGGUCGUGGAAUUCCCAGUGUAGAGGUGAAAUUCGUAGAUAUCGGGAAGAACACCCGUGGCUAAGGCGGCUCUCUAGUACGGUACUGACGCUGAGACGCGAAAAGCGUGGGGAGCGAACAGG